rnacentral:lncRNA from 1 species
CCGUGUCCAGCGCGAACCUGAUGGCUCUGUCUUUCCAAUAUCAAAAUCUAAUGCCUUCCACCUGUAUAACUAUGAUAAAUUGAAUUGAUUUGGUAUAAACAUUCGAUGCAAGUAAGUAAAUAUUUGUCGAUAAGAAACUAACAAGAGUUCUUCAAGGGUAACGGUAGAAUUUGGCAUUGGAGAUUGCAUGAUUUUUGUAGGAAUAAGUAGAGCUUCUACUGAAUUGGGCUUCUGAUUUGCUUCCAUUUUCCUUUUACUUCACUACAAUAGUCUCUUCAACCUGAUAAUAAGUUGGAGUCAGACUACAUGAAUCCUCAAAAAUAUAAAACUCAAAUUGGCUCUUCCAGUUCUGAUUAAACUAAAUAAAUUAUCUCUCUGACAAAUUAGUGGUAGCAUUUUACCUGAUACAAAUGGUUAGUACUCGUCAAAUUUCCAUUCUACUUGUAAAAUUUAUCCUUUAACAAUUAGAACUAGAAAAAUAAGAAUUUACGGCAGACAAAUUUUGUAGCUAAAUAGCAAAAUUUGUUGCUAACUCUAUUUAGCAAUGAAUUAGCGAUAGACCAUUCAAAAACUAUGUUCGUAUGAGCGAUUUGGCGACGAAUAUCAUGGCUAAUUUCUGGUGUUUUUUUUUUUUUAUGUGUGUGUGUGUGUGUGUGUGAUUGUAUCUAAAAUUAAGAAGUGUACAUGAAAAUUGAGAAAUGAAGUGAAAGCAACAUGUCCACCUGAAAGUAUUCUAUUGGAAAUUAAAGAAG